rnacentral:rRNA from 1 species
GAGAAGCUUGCUUCUUGGGUGGCGAGUGGCGAACGGGUGAGUAACAUAUCGGAACGUACCGAGCAGUGGGGGAUAACUAAUCGAAAGAUUAGCUAAUACCGCAUAUAUUCUGAGGAAGAAAGCAGGGGACCAUUUGGCCUUGCGCUGUUUGAGCGGCCGAUAUCUGAUUAGCUAGUUGGUGGGGUAAAGGCCUACCAAGGCGACGAUCAGUAGCGGGUCUGAGAGGAUGAUCCGCCACACUGGGACUGAGACACGGCCCAGACUCCUACGGGAGGCAGCAGUGGGGAAUUUUGGACAAUGGGCGCAAGCCUGAUCCAGCCAUGCCGCGUGUCUGAAGAAGGCCUUCGGGUUGUAAAGGACUUUUGUCAGGGAAGAAAAGGACAGGGUUAAUACCCCUGUCUGAUGACGUACCUGAAGAAUAAGCACC